ACGAGAUGCGUUUCUAUUCCUCUCGAGGCCCUCGCGCCAAAAUAGUGAUAGGGUCACAUCUUGGGAAUUAUAAGUUGGUAUCAUAGCACUACCGACCUAGGAGCUCCCUUGAUACACCGAACUUGGCCGAGUCGAGUCUAGUGAAAAACUGCUUUGAGUCUAGUUAUAUAUCGGAGAGUAGGAUUCUUUUUUGUCCUCUUCUAUGCUCUGCUGAGGAAUCUUGACGUAAGAAUUUUAAUUCUACUCCUUUUCUCACUCAUAAUUGUUUUAGGAUCAAGCGGGUAUUUUUGGAAUCUAUAUGAUGUCGAUGUGACAGAGUUCUGUCUUGGUGCCUCCUCUCUGACUUGAUUUCUUCCGGGGAGUUGAGCUCCAGGGGAUUCUUGAGCACAUCGUUUUCAUUCAGAUUUCUUAGCAUCUUAGGAUGGACGAUGUUCCUAAUUGCUUCAAUACUAGUAGUGGCGAGAGGAGUCCGGCAUCCCCAGUACUGGUGUAGAGUUGAUGGAUGUGAUACAAUGGACGGGUAGUGUUAUUGCUAGGAGUUGAGUGUUGGAUUUUACUCCUUGUAUCCGUGGACCCGAUUGUAUGAUCAAAAUAUUCGAGAGUUCUUAGGUGGGAAUUCAAGUAGUUACUUAUAGGAGAAUCUUCCAAUAGAUGCAUGAUGUGAGGUUGGGGUUCGACAUCUAGUGGAUUCGUUUGUUCACGGUCGUUUUUACAAAGGACAAUCUCAAUAUAUGUCAUCAGUAUGCUUCGACAAGCCUUGUAGUUCGCUACGCCUAGGGAGAAUAUUCGAGCAUCAUUUCAGAAUGACAAUCCAAUGUAUGAUCGAGCCCGUGCGAUCCUAUCCACGAAAAUAUCAAGCGGAAUCUGUGUCAUGUGUUUGUUCUGGCUAAUUUGCAAACCUCAUCCUCUGUUUUGUUGGAGUAUGGUACUUCGAGUUGCUUCUAUGUCAAGUGGUGAAUUCAUAGCUUUCCAAGAGGUGUUCUCAUAUUUUUAUGGGAAUGCAAUUUUUUUUGCUCAAUCAAGUUGUGUUUUCAAUUCUUGUCAACUAGAGUCGUCAUGUCAAUUCUUUUUCGACCAGUGUGCUUCUCUUCAAGUAAUUUAAUUCUCUCCGAUAUUUGCAAGAUCAAUCUCUCAUUUACUU
rnacentral:lncRNA from 1 species